CUGCUGCUGCUUUAUUUUAAACUAUGCUUUUUAAUUAUCUUUAUUACUCACGAAAUCCUUCUAUUCCAACAAACAAUAUAUUUCCGUUUUCAAUAUAUUUCCGUUUUUCUCUAUCCCUUUCAUCUAAAUAAUUUUUGGCAUAAUUAAAAGUUUUUUGUGAUAUGGAACAAGAGAUCAUCGCAGAUUUGCGGAUUUCAAGUUAAGCGUUUUGUACGAGGUGAUUACGAAGGCGAUUUGUCUUAGGGUUCUGAGAAGUGGACGAAGGUUUUGAGACUUGAUUUUCAUCUUGCUAGGAAACCCUUUAGUGGCUUCUCUAAUGGUGAUUCUGAAUUCAAGAUGGAGACGUUGAUCCCUGCACUAACAAGUUCCAAGUUCGCAAAGAAAAAAAAAAAUCAAAAGAAAGGGAAGAUUGAGCAGUCAUUGAUUAACAUAAACAUAUAUGUCUUUUUAUUUAUCCGAGAACUCCUUUGUGGUUUUGUUGGCAUUUGGUCGGUGUAGGUGAUUUGUAGGGUCUGGGUUUGAAGAAUCUUGGGAAUACAUAUUUUCUGAAUUCUGUAUCGCAAUUUUUGACAUACACUGAGUGCUUAGAUGCUUACUUUCUAGAUGUUGGCAAUGUGAAAUCCUGUAAGUUGCAUUUAGAAGAUGGUUUGAUUAAUUGCUUGGCUUGGUGGGUCUUUUAUUCAGUGUCUAAUUGGAUGUUCUCAUGAAAACGUUUGUGUAGUCCAUGUGACUGGGUUUUGUGCUUUAUGUGCAAUGCAGAGGCAUGUUAGGACGGCCCUUCAAGCUCAUGGCAGAAUAGCAGCACCAAGUCUCAAACUUUGGAGGAUCUCUGCCCUUGCAGGAUCUUCUUUGAGGAAUGAGAGGAGCCACAUCUCAUGUCAUUGCCAAAAAAGCCGAAAUGAUGAAAGCAAUGAUUUUCACAAAAGUUCCGGUGGAUGUCGAUCCUAUGCUUUAAUUGGAGGAUAGCAAUCAAUAAACACCUCAGCUUUUGUCUAUCAUUUUCAUUAAGAUUUUUUUGUUUCACUCAUAUAUUCGUGUACCUCUCAGCUUUCCUCUGAUGUUAAAGAACAGGAAACUUCAGCAGUUGAUUACACAGCAGGGGACAUGAUCUUUUUCUACCGUGAUUCCCCAUACCUCCAAGGCUCUAUCUGCAGUAGAAGAGAGUGAUAGGACAGGAAAUGCCAUGAAAAGAGGAUGACGAAGAAAAUGAGCAUGAUGAAGAACAUUUUCACUAACCUGGGGUAGAACUAAAUUAUAAAACAUCAUAGAGUUUUACCUCUAUUGACUGAGCCGUGGAAAGUCUGUAAACAUGAACAUGUUUGGUUUGACCAAUUCGGUGACAUUUGUCCAUGGCUUGCAAGGCCAUUCGAGAGUUUUGUAUCAAGAAUCCC